CUACGGGCGGCUGCAGUGAGGAAUAUUGCACAAUGGGGGGAACCCUGAUGCAGCAACGCCGCGUGGAGGAUGACGCAUUUCGGUGUGUAAACUCCUUUUAUAUGUCUAGAAAAUGACGGUAGCAUAUGAAUAAGCACCGGCUAACUCCGUGCCAGCAGCCGCGGUAAUACGGGAGGGUGCACGCGUUACUCGGAAUCACUGGGCGUAAAGGACGCGUAGGCGGGUUGGAAAGUCAGGUGUGAAAUCCUACAGCUUAACUGUAGAACUGCACUUGAAACUUCUAAUCUAGAGUAUGGGAGGGGGAGAUGGAAUUAGUGGUGUAGGGGUAAAAUCCGUAGAUAUCACUAGGAAUACCUAAAGCGAAGGCGAUCUCCUGGUACAUUACUGACGCUAAGGCGUGAAAGCGUGGGGAGCAAACAGGAUUAGAUACCCGGGUAGUC
rnacentral:rRNA from 1 species